GCAAGUCGAACGGAAACAUGUCUAGCUUGCUAGAUGAUGUCGAGUGGCGGACGGGUGAGUAAUACUUAGGAACAUGCCUUUGGGUGGGGGAUAACUAUUGGAAACGAUAGCUAAUACCGCAUGAUGUCUACGGACCAAAGUGGGGACUUGUUCCUCACGCCCAGAGAGUGGCCUAAGCGAGAUUAGCUUGUUGGUGAGGUAAUGGCUCACCAAGGCAACGAUCCCUAGCUGGUUUGAGAGGAUGAUC
rnacentral:rRNA from 1 species